GACAGCAGCCAUAUCACCCUGCAGCUCACAACUAGCAACCCACUGAAGCUAAGCAGGUGUGAGCCUGGUCACUACAUGGAUGGGAGACCUCCUGGGAAAAACUAAAGUUGCUGCUGGAA
rnacentral:rRNA from 1 species